ensembl:lncRNA
GCGCUCGUGCCCGUGGCUCAGACCACGUCGCGUCAGCCGCUCCUCCGAAAUGGGUCCGGGGCAGAGAACUGAACCGAAACACUGGCUCUUGGAUCUAGAGCUUGCUGUCUUUCAGACAAGAAAAUCCAUCACCUGCAGUCCUGGUUCUCAGGCCUUUGGACUUGGUCUGGAACUGCACCAUCAGCUCUCCUGGGUCUCCAGCCCGCUGACUGCAGAUCUUGGGACUUCUCAGCAUCCACAAUCAUUGCUUUUACCUGCGUAGUGCCCACAGGAUCCAAGUGCAGAACAUCUAAAGAGUUCUACAUGGCACCCUGACUUGCUCAUCAGCAGAACACCUCAAUUAUGCCCCCCAGGUAGGUAGUUGUAUAUUGCUCUGCUCUGCUAAGAAACUCAGCUUCUACUUCUUCAUGUGCUUCCUGUCUUCCAAAAAUGUACUGACAUUGCUGAUCUGCUGCUAUCUUCUUUUCUGUUAGUUCUGACCCUGUGAGUUAUUCUCUCUUAUGAUUUCUUUGUUCUUAUUUGGUAGAGCUAUAUUAAAGUACAGUCCCUCAGUAUAUCCUCAAGUCAUUUUGGCAAACUCCACCUCCAUUUCCAUCUUCCCAGAAGCUGUUUUUACCAAGGCUGGCAAAGAUCGCCAUUGUCGCCAGUACAGUGGAGGCUUUUCUAGCCUCAUCUUACCCACCUGUACAGCUGGGGCUGACACUGCUGACCCCUCUCUCCUUCACAUAACACUCCUCUCCAGGCAUCUCCUGGUUUUUUCCUACAUCACUAGUUCUAAGUAUAUGCCUCCUUUAUUUGUUUCUCCAUUUUUACCUGAUGUUAAAAUGUUGGCAUGUCUCAGGUCUUAAUAUUGGAAACUUUCUUUCCUAGUCAUGUUUUUACCUUGGGUAAUUUCAUCCGUUCUCGUAGUUUUAACCACUUUUCACUCAUGGAUGAGUAUUUCCUAGUCUUACCUCUCCUCUGAGAUCUAGACUCAUCUGUCCAGCCAUCUAUUUGACAUGUCCUAGAGAUCCCAUAAUUCUUUUUACUCAUUCAACCAAUAUUUGUUGAGUACUUCCUACGUUCCCCGAAAUAUUCUAGGUUCUUGGGAUAUAUUUGUAUCAAAUUUCCUUAAUGAUGCUUACAUUUCAGUGAGAGGAGACAAAGAUUAAAAAUUGACCUUAUGAAAGAGUCAUAGCAUAAUAGAAGGUGAUGAAAUAGAAGUGCUAUGUAAAAAGCAAAAGUAGAGUGCUAGGGAUGGAAGAGCAGUCGUGGUUUUAAAUAGGGUGAUCAGUGUAGAUCUUCCCAAGAUGCUGAAAUCUGGGCAAAAGUUUGGAGGAGGUAAGGUCAGGGAGAUAUCCGUGAGUGUGUGUGUGUGUGUGUGUGUGUGUGUGUGUGUAUGGCCAAGCCCAUGGCAUGUGGAAGUUCAUGGCCCAGGGAUUAAACCAGUGCCACAGCAAUGACCUGAGCUGCUGCAAUGACAAUGCCAGAUCUUUAACCCACUGCACCACAUGGGAACUCCCAGGAAGAUAUCUAAGAUAUCUGUAGGAAGACCAUUCCAGGAAAAAAGAGGAAACUCUGCAAAGAUCCUGAGGUAGGAAUGUACCUGGCGUUUUUAAGGGACAGAAGGAGAAUAGUACAGCUGGAAGGGAAUGAACAAAGAGGUGUGUAGAAGAUGAGGUAAUGACUUUGGCUUUUCCUCAGAUCUAGAUAUGGAGUCAGUGAAUAACUUACAAUUUAAAAGGAUCCUCUUGCUGCUAUGCAGUGAAUAGGUACUGCAAUGGUGUAUGAGUAAAACAAAGGAGGACCCUUGAGCAGAAAUUUCAAAAUUAACUUAUACAAAAUUAAAUUUUAGGGGAGCUCUUGUGGCUCAUCAGGUUACUGAUCCCAUGUAGUCACUGCUAUGGCUCUGGUUACUGCUGUGGUGCAGGUUUGACUGCUGGCCCAGGAAUUUUUGCAUGCCAUGGGCAGAGUCAAAAAAAAUUGAAUUUAAAAAGUUUCUCCCCUUAAUCUAUUCUUUCCCAAGUAGGUAACUGGCUCUACCCAGAAGCUAAAGCUACACACCUAUGAGUUAUGAUGGUUUUCCCCUCUUCUAUCACCUCCUUCUCCUUAAACCCAUUAACAAAUCCUAUCCCUAAUCUGUGGACUCCUUCCCAUCACCAAGCCAUCAUCCCUGGUCAACCACCAUUGCCUCUUGUCUCUAACAAAAGACAGCAGCCAAGUCAAAUAAGGUUCUGGCCUUAACUUUGUGACAAUUACUGGGGUCUCCUGUGCUGGGGCUUCCAACACCUUCUACUGAUGGGGGAGUCCCUCACUCAGAGAUCCUCUUUCCUUCAUAUCCCCAAAGCCAUCAUUCUCCCUCCAUCCUCCAAAAAGUAAAAAUUUUUCUGGAGAGCUGGGACACAGGUUUGAUCCCUGGCCUGGCACAGUGGGUUAAGGAUCUGGUGUUGCCACAGCAGCAUUGGUCACAAUUGCAGCUUGGAUCUGGUCUCUGGCCCAGGAACUCCAUAAGCCAUAGAAUGGCAAAAAAGAAAAAACAAAAAAA